rnacentral:rRNA from 1 species
UGGGGAAUUUUGGACAAUGGGCGCAAGCCUGAUCCAGCCAUGCCGCGUGCAGGAUGAAGGCCUUCGGGUUGUAAACUGCUUUUGUACGGAACGAAAAGGUGCCUUCUAAUAAAGGGCGCUCAUGACGGUACCGUAAGAAUAAGCACCGGCUAACUACGUGCCAGCAGCCGCGGUAAUACGUAGGGUGCGAGCGUUAAUCGGAAUUACUGGGCGUAAAGCGUGCGCAGGCGGUUUUGUAAGACAGAGGUGAAGUCCCCGGGCUCAACCUGGGAACUGCCUUUGUGACUGCAAGGCUGGAGUGCGGCAGAGGGGGAUGGAACUCCGCGUGUAGCAGUGAAAUGCGUAGAUAUGCGGAGGAACACCGAUGGCGAAGGCAAUCCCCUGGGCCUGCACUGACGCUCAUGCACGAAAGUGUGGGGAGCAAACA